CAGAGCCUGGGAAACAUCUCUGUUGUACUCUGGAAGAUGAACCCUGCUCAGAGCAUCUUCCAUUGGUGAACUACAUGCUUGUGGGGAAGAUGAGAAAGGGGGAGAGAAAGGAAAAGUGAGAGAGGAAACAAGAAGAACAGAUGUUUUUUGUUCUGAUUGCUACCAAAGUGAGGUGUUUUCCCAUGCUAUCAGCCUUCAUGUCUUACUGAAUCACCAGGAAAAUUCUCCCAAAGAAAAGAGACUUCACUGAAAAAAAUCUUGUUUCUACCACUGCUAUUUAUUAUCAAAUCAUGGCUGUUCUCAAGAUUUUUAUCAACAUUCCACUUUCCAAGGAGCCAUAAAGUACACGCAGUAAAUAUCUUCCAAGACAUUCAUCAAGCACAGACGUGACAUGCAGCGAUGGAGAAAGGAAAUGCUUGCUA
rnacentral:lncRNA from 1 species